UCGAUGAAAUGCCACCGUCUCCAAAAGACCUUCCCGGACCCUCUCCUUUACUCCACACGCCGGCCACUCUGUGAUUAACGGGGGUGGGAGGGGUGCUCUCUGGCGGGGCCCGUACACAGUGGGCGCUCAGUUCCUGCAAGGCCAAUGCCCGACCGUGGGGACCACAGCCAUCAACCGUUUGGAAGGUUUUAAAACAGCCGUUCCACCCGGAUCCGUGCAGACACCCCGGGCCGGCGCGGCGUCCGCGCUUCCACGCGGAUCCUUCACGAGGGAAACUCCUGCGUUAUGUGCCAGGAGGUCUACGGAUAAGGAAACUGAGCUCCCAGAAGUGAAGCGACUGGCCCCAGCACUCCAGCCAGGGCGGAAAGGGCAUUCCGGCCACCCAGCGGAACCCCCCUCCCCUUCGGCCCGGCCCCAGGGCGGGGCCUCAGCGUUGUCUCCGGCCGCCCAGCCCGCGCUGACCCCAAAAGGAAAUGUGUGGCGUGGGGCUGAGUGAGCCCCUGGUCUCGCCCCUGAUCUGAGCAGGCCGGCUCGCCUUCCUCUCCCUCCGUUUCUCUUUGUGAAGGCUGGAAGCUGGCCAGCUGUCCUCUUGAGGGUCAGAGGAGCUGAAGCGGGGAUAGGGCGUUGGGCAGGGCCGCUGCUCCCCGCUAUUCCCUUCACCUCCCACCUCCGACACACACCCAUCGCCCCCUCCAAAACUUUGCUGGAGGAACAAAGUCGUGGGCGCCGUGUGUUUCUGCCAACAGUGCAAGAGCGUCUUUUCCAUCGAGCACCUCAGCUUCCAAAGGAGCUCGCCUCAUCUUCUCCAAGGCCAGCCCGGAGAAGGGGACUGGGCGGCCUUCUCGCCCAGGUACCCUCUCUCACUGUUGCUCUGGUUGAGCCAAGACCGGUCCCACCCCGUCCUCCUUGAGGCCCCACUCGCAACGUUGCCCUUUUAAGAAAGAGGAAAUUCUUCUCAUAAACAAGCGCCCCAACCUGAGCGCGGAGCUCGGGUCGCCGGACCCCUGGGAAAUCGGGGGUGCUCCGGGGCACAGCGCCCGCUCCAGGCUCAACCCAGGGGAAAGGCUCGGUGGCCCCUAGUCGCCGCCGCUCUCCACAGCUCCCGGCCUGGGGUCCGCGGGCCGGCAAGAGGCUAGAGGAGGGACUUGGGGGAGCCUAGAAACCGCCCAGGGAGCGUCUGUAAAGUACAGCCCCUGCACGGGGCGAAGGGGUGCCGGGCCGCUCCCAGCGGUCAGGGGGUUCCCCGCCCACACAGCGCCCGCGGCCCCCUCCACGCCUGGGCGGAUUCCGAGGCCCCAGGGCGCGAGGCCGGAGCGCCCGCCUUCUCCUCUUCGGCCCGGAGGGGUGAGGCCGAGGCUGGGAGUGUCGGCGCUCGGGACCGUCCCUGCCCCUAGGGGGAGCUAGGAGUCAGCGCGGAAGGAGCGUUAACUGCACGGCGUGGGAGUCUGGGCCGCCCGGUCCCCUGGGGAGAUGACAAAUGAAUUGGGCCUCGGAGGCAAGGACUCUUGGGAUCCUUAUGACCUGGCGCCUGAAGGGAGGAGAACCGCGCCUCGAUUUUACUGCCUGGAAAAUGGGUUGUGGGUGGGUGGAACAGAACGGCUGAGGCCACUCCAGCGAG